AUACGUAGGGAGCGAGCGUUGUCCGGAAUUACUGGGUGUAAAGGGCGUGUAGGCGGGCUGUCAAGUCAGAUGUGAAAUUCCCGGGCUUAACCUGGGCGCUGCAUUUGAAACUGGGUAUCUAGAGUGCGGGAGAGGAAAGUGGAAUUCCUAGUGUAGCGGUGAAAUGCGUAGAGAUUAGGAAGAACACCAGUGGCGAAGGCGACUUUCUGGACCGUAACUGACGCUGAGAUACGAAAGCGUGGGGAGC
rnacentral:rRNA from 1 species